ensembl:lncRNA
CGCCUCUGUUAACUGACACAAGAGCGACAGUUGAUUUAGGUGAACACGGUAGUCACACCGAGGUCGGAGCCGGGCACGGGGAGGAGCGAGUCGAAGGUGCAGUUCGUUGGAAGCACGGAGAGCGCGAGCCGCAUGCUUUUACUGUACCGCUGAGGUACGUCACGUUCCACGCGCACGGAAAGCUGCUGGUUUGCGCUCUCGCUCCUGACAAACUCGUGAAAACUGUUGUUCUUGGUGACAGCCAAGUUGUGCCGCGGUGUCGACAUUUUUUUUUUUGCUCAGUGUUUUAACCAAGGUUAUCGGUGUUAUUUAUAUUUCUUUCCCUCUCCAAAAUGGGCUUUCACUCUUGAGGAUAUAGAGGCAUAACAUGAUUUGUGAGCCAGUCUACUCAUCGAAAUGACAGGCCAGAAAUCUUCCCGGUUUAUUCUGGCAGGGUGAAGGAGCCACUUCAUAAUAAGGACGUCUGCCCCUCCCUCCCUCCCGAACACCGAGCACUCCUCAAACGACUCUGCAACGCUGCUGAAGAAUCAACACUCAGGAACAGGUUUGUCCUGCAAAUGGACUCAGCUCUUCAUGUUCAUUAGGUCCUCCCUCCCUCCCUCUCUCCCUCUCUCCCUCUCUCCCUGGCGCUCAGGAGAAAUACUCCACUGGGGCUCAUCUGAGAGGGAGAAAAAAGUCCAGUCCAGUUAACCCCCAUCUAAAAUGACACCGGAAAAAGCUGCAACACAGAAAUGAAUUUCAUGGAAACUGAAGCGUGGUGGGAAUUAAGCCAAGCGCUUGUGUUAUGAGGUAGACACGCUUGUGCUCCGCCAUAUUUGGGCAUGGUCACUCCGGGAACCUUAGGUCCUGUGAUUGUUUUUGUAAGAAAAUAUUUUUAGGGAGAUCAGAA